UUGCAGGAUAAAAAGGGCGACAUUAAAUUGUUUGACGAUGUCAACAUCUUUGCGUCAAAACAAACAGGGAAUACGGAAAGAUUAUAGAAAACUUCGGAUAGUCGAUUCACUGAUGUUGACAGCGAGACAUAACCGCCUGGGAAUUCUAACUGCAUGAAGUCUUUGAGACCUUUGUAAAAUCAUCAUGUUUUUUAGGCUUUUUCUGUUGCUUAUGAUCCUUUCUUUGAUUUCAGUAGAGAGGACUCAAGCAGCACUGAAUGGACACACGGUGUUGAAGCACUUGGUGAAAAGAUGGGACCAAGAAAUGUUCGGUUGCCAUUGUGCCUUCACGGUCCAUUGCACGAGUGACGCUAACUGUCACCAGCACGGCCACCAUUACCGAUGUAUAGCGGAUUGUUGCGGAAUGAAAUGUCAUCCGUCCGCCGGAAGUUAUCAUCUUCACCAUGGUCAAGAGACGGAAGAAGGAGUGCCUUAAGAAGUCUAACGGAUCAACUCGUACUUUGACGUUAAGAGAUUGGC